rnacentral:rRNA from 1 species
GAUCAUGGCUCAGAUUGAACGCUGGCGGCAUGCUUUACACAUGCAAGUCGAACGGCAGCACAGGGAGCUUGCUCCCGGGGUGGCGAGUGGCGCACGGGUGAGUAAUACAUCGGAACGUGUCCUGUUGGUGGGGGAUAACUGCUCGAAAGGGUGGCUAAUACCGCAUGAGACCUGAGGGUGAAAGCGGGGGAUCGCAAGACCUCGCGCAAUUGGAGCGGCCGAUGCCCGA